GGCCCCGUCGUCUAGCGGUUAGGACACAGGCCUUUCACGCCUGCGGCACGGGUUCGAGUCCCGUCGGGGUCA
rnacentral:tRNA from 1 species